GCCCGCGCGUCCAGCGCUNACGGGGGGAGACUGGUGCCCUCACGGGUUUUGCCCUUCAAAAAGGCGCCUCCUGAGGAAAGGGUUAUUGAGCCCCCCAUUUAUGGCACAGACCUUUCCGCUGAACGGUCGAUGUGGGACUAAAUUCGGGGAACCCCCCGUAACACAGCCCCCCAGCGGGAAGGUCCUGUGCCCGGGUCGGCUCCUUACUGGAUAGGUGGAGGGCCGAGGCCCUCCUUCUAGCGCCAUCUGAUGCGGGAUUUGCACCCCAUCACCAGCACAGUCCCAACCGAUCCGCGCAGCGAAAGGAAAGUGUCCCCCAGAAGGUAUUGUCCGCUUUGGGAAUCGGGUGAACCGGCCCAGCGGCUGCCGCCAUCCCUCACGGUUUUGCCCCGCAAAAGGCGCCUCCUGAGGAAAGGGUUAUUGAGCCCCCCAUUUAUGGCACAGACCUUUCCGCUGAACGGUCGAUGUGGGACUAAAUUCGGGGAACCCCCCGUAAC
rnacentral:lncRNA from 1 species